UUAUGCUUUUAAAGUGUUGUGUGCCAUUAUGCGGAAGAAAUUUUAAUGAUGACCAUAAAGUGUGUACAACAGAUUUCCAAAACAAGACUUGUUGAAUGGAUGGUUGAAAUCAAUACUGCGAGAAAAUCUUACCACUUCGAAAGAUUCUAUGGAAAUUAACAGUGGAUUUUGGUUGCUUGCAGUGGAUGUGGCUACUUGCUUUCUUUGUCUUGAUGCAGCUCGAUUGAAUGAUGGCCCUGUGUGUGAACAGAAGGCAGGAGACCCGUCCACGAAAGAUGAAAAAGGUGGCAGAGGACCUUCUACCUCCACCUCCAAUAGGGCCAAUUAGAGUGUGUGUAGAAUUGCCCAUACUGCUAGGCAUCCUUGGAGAAAACGAUUUCCAGAGGGAGCACAAGCUUCUGUAGAAGAGGAUGAAGAAGAAGAAGAAGAAAUUGUAACGGAAUGCUCAGAGGGAGCAUCUUCCUUGCAAAUGGAGGAAGAUGUGAGAAGGAAGCGGAGUGAAGGAACAAGGAGGAAAUGUUGUAGAAAGUCUUCAGGGCAGCUAAGAGGAAAAAAAAAAAAGUAAAAGAUUUCACGGAAACGUUUUACACUAGUUAAAGUAAGAGAAGCAAGUUUUGACGGGGCCCCGGAGACAGGUUGGCAAGACACUCUCCUUGAACAGAAAGGUCUGAAGUUCUAUCCCGGUAAGUAAGUAAUAUUGAAUUAUGAUAGUUAAACACGAAAUAAUGUGUAAUAGAAGCAUAUAUGGUAUAUUAAUAAAUAAGUAAUAAUACAAUGUGUUAUGAGUUGCAGGUAGAAAGAAAGAGGGGCUCCCCACGGAACAAGGAAAUAACCGGGUGGCACUCGAAAUAGCCCCAAAAAAGUAGGAGAUUAUUUAAGAGGAAAAUAGUGCCACCCGGGAGGGGCUUUUGCAAAAUUUUUCCAUCUCCUGGGCUGGGGGGUGUAAAUUUUAAAUUUAAUUUUGAAGUUUAUUUCUAAUGUUUGAAGUUUCUAAUACAAAUAUUGUUGUUGCAGUCGCCUAGUGAGUAUCUGAAAUGUUUCUGUGCUGUGCUACUGCUCUUAUAAGCAAUGUAUCAGAAUAUUUAAAAAUAAAUAAAUAAAAAUAAAUUUGUUUUACGAAUAAUGGGUUUAUAUUGUUUAUGUUUAAAUAUUCAUUAACAUAUUUUUGGCGUUUAGAAAUCAGUUCGUCCCGGAAAGUUAAAUUUAUCGUCGUUUAGAAAUUUUAGGCUUUUGCCUCUAACCUCUUCAUUUUUGUAAAUAUAUUAACUUGUUUUAUUUAUGGAAGUAAUUAUAAAUUAAUUUUAUGAACUCGAAAUAUUUAUAUUUUUUCCUAUAAUUCAAUUCAUUUUCCACAAAA